rnacentral:rRNA from 1 species
GGUAAGGACGGGCCAGGGUCGGCGGUAAGACUGAGGGUGCGAGGGUUAAUGGGAAUGACGGGUGGUGAAGUGGGCGAAGGCGGGCGAGCAAGUGGAGGGUGAAAGCCCCGGGCUUAACUUGGGAAUUGCGCUCGAAACGACUUGGCUGGAGUGUGGCAGAGGAAGGUGGAAUUCCACGUGUAGCGGUGAAAUGCGUAGAGAUGUGGAGGAACACCAAUGGCGAAGGCAGCCUUCUGGGCCAACACUGACGCUCAUGCACGAAAGCGUGGGGAGCAAACAGGAUUAGAUACCCGGGUAGUC